rnacentral:lncRNA from 1 species
GACGGCCUCACGAGCAGAAUUGCUGAGGCGCACGAGCGCUACCUCACGGAGCUGCACGACAUUCUCAUUAAGGCUCGCGAGGACGAGAUCGAGACACUCCAGAGGCUCGUCUCCUCGGGUCUCAGGGAUCUCUUUCGCAGCCGACUCGAGGAUCUUGUCACCUCCACACUCAGCUACUGCAGCGCCACGGAGCAUGAUGCCGUCUACCACCACCUGCUCGC